AAUGAACGCUAGCGGGAUGCCUUACACAUGCAAGUCGAACGGAGUGGCGAACGGGUGGGUAAUGUAUCGGAAGGUGCCCAGUAGCGGGGGAUAACUACGCGAAAGCGUAGCUAAUACCGCAUACGUUUGAAGCGGCCUAUAGCGGAGUAGCUAGUUGGUGGGGCAACGGCUAACCAAGGCGGCGAGCCGUAGGUGGUGUGAGAGGACGACCAGCCACACUUGGACUGAGACAGGGCCCAGACUCCUACGGGAGGCAGCAGUGGGGAAUUUUGGACAAGGGGGGAAACCCUGAUCCAGCCAUCCCGCGUGUGCGAUGACGGCCUUCGGGUGGUAAAGCAUUUUUGGCAGGAAAGCGGUACCUGCAGAAUAAGCACCGGCUAACUACGUGCCAGCAGCCGCGGUAAUAC
rnacentral:rRNA from 1 species